CGGGAAGCUACUCCCACGUCUGCGAUGCACUAGGCCAGCAGGGCUGGCCGGGGCUCACUAGGGUGGGACGUGGUCACCUUUGGGUGUGGCCCCUGCCCCAAGGCUGAGCCCGGGGUCCUGGGAGCCUCCGCCUGGGCUCUGAGGUGCUGCUGAUUCAGUGCAUUUCAGUUAGGCAGGAAGUUCCUGAGAGGAAAACCACAAGCUUUAUGUUUAUUUAAUUCCAGCCAUUCUGUGGUUUUUGGAGAUGGCCUUUAAAGAUUUGUUUUUGAUUUUUAUCUCAAAGAGAAUGCAGAAAAGCCCAUGGGUCGGGCUCCAGAGAAAAUACACACAAAGAAGAGAAGUGAAUUUGGAUCUCACCAGGCAGCUUUCGGGCUCCGGCUGCCUGGGCCAUGGCCAGUGGGAGCCUGUCCUGGGGGCGUCCUUCCUUGUUGUCCGGGACUCCGGUGUUGAGAUCCUCCGCCCGUCCCCUCUGUCCUGGUGCCUCUGGCAGACGCGGAUUUGAGAAAGUACACGCUUCCGUGGGUGCCUACGUCUACCACCGCUCCCACCAGAGCCAUGAGUUCGCUGAUGCCUCGGCUCCACCGCGUCCACAGGCUCGUUUGGGUUUUCCGUGUCGGAGCCUGUGGCUCCUGUCUCCACAGCGCGGAUCCCCCCUGUGCUGCUCAGAGCCCUGCUGCCACGAUGCCCGUGUGACUGCCAGUCCGGGGGCGGGGGCGGGGGGACCUCGUGCCCACCCUCUGUGGCUUUAGGGUUGCUCCUUCUGGGAAGGGCAGAGCGGUCUGCCCUGGCCUCCGCUCAGGGCCAGCAGGGAGGUGGAGGGGAGCCUGGUUCCACCACCAGCUCUGGGUAUGGUCGUGUCCACCCACAUCCCCUCGGGACGGGGGCUGAGACGCCGGCUGUCCCGUUGGAGCCGGGUCGCGGCUGUGAAGACGCAGUGGGGCGCCUGGUGAGCCCUUGUGGCUGGGGUGCUGCGUGUGUUCACGUCUAGGACCGCAGAAUGAGCGGCGUUCGCCUGGGCGUCGGCUUCCGCUCCUGCAGCUGCGUGAUGCCCACCCCGAGGCCGCCGGCCUGCACACCCGUGAGACCCUCGGGCUGACACGGCUACUCCUGCUCCGCUGUGCCGGCAGCCACUGCGGCCACUGGGACGCGUGCCGGUCACUGUCCUCUGCUCUCUGGUCACCACACGCCCCGUCCCCGGUGCUGUGGGUGGCGGACCCGCAUCUGUAGCUCCUCUGAGCUUCUGGUGCCUCCUGCGCAUUUCCUUCGUGGAGCCUCCUGUGUGUCCUGGCGACCGGUGGAAAUCGUGUUUGCGCCGAACAAGCCAGAGGUGGUUUCUUGCUACAGCAGGGGGGACCCGUUCCACAUCCUGUGACAGGGACGGAGGAGGGGGUGUCCCUGGCCAAUGGAGGGCUCGUGGACGCUGGGCCCACCGUGGACUCAGGAAUUUCUGUUUGUCCUUAGGGUCUUAUUACCUUCCUGGGGCUGCCCUAACGAAGCCACAGACUCAGGGCUCAAACCGCAGGCAUCCCUCUCAGCCUGCAGGCCGUAAGCCCUAAACUGAGGUGUCGCGGGGCCGUGCUGCCUUUGGGGGGGCACCCUGUGCAUCUUCCAGCCUCUGGUGGUGCCAGACAUACUCGCCGUCCCUUGGUUGGUGGAUGCGUCACCCCCUCUCUGCCUCCAGGGGCACACGGCGUUGCUCUCUUGUUGGGAUGGGACUCACCGACUCCAGCUGGUCACCGACUCCCUCUUACUGAUGGUGCCUGCAGUGGCCCUGUUUCCAACCCCAGGACGCCGUGGGGAUUGCACAGCAUCGGUGUGUCCGGAGCUGCUGGGCUCUUCUCCGUGGCUGCGUGAGAAGCCGUCGGGAGACUUUCAGGAUGUAAUCACAAAGGCCGGAACGAGGAGAAGGCACCCUCACAGACCAAGCGUGAUCUGAGCUCAGCACCUGGGCCCAGGACAUGGGAGUCGCCCAAACGUUCACGUGUUCCUGCGUUUGCUUUCUCCUUCUCACACCUGAAUCUGCAGAGUGGAAUAUGUCGGGCUGUGUUCCCCACACCAGGCUGUGCUGCCGCCGGGGCGGCCGUUCGUGUUGCUGCAACAAUACGUGGUCUCUAUUCUGCAGUCUGCAUUCACAGGUCUUCAGUUCUCUGUCUCGGGAAGGACUCCCACUUCUCCUGGGGGCCUUUCCGAGUACCUCACCUUCUUGCUUGCCAUCGUUGCCGGGGUCCCUCUGCCAUUCCAUCCUCCAACUGGUGACUUGGUGCAGCUAUGAGGACCUUUGGUUUUUGUGUGUUCGUUUUAGCCUUACUGAGUUCGUUUAUCCUUUGAGUCUGUUUCCUCCCUGUUGAUGGCCUGGUGCCACGCUCGCUGCCCGGUCGGGAGUCCCAUGUGGCUAAGCUCGCGUGUACAGAUGAGAUGAAAUGAGACCGAAGGCUCACGAUGCCGCCACAUUCGCCCCAUUUCCAGUGCUUGGCGGCCGCACGGCCUUGGCGGGUUUCCGACACUGAGCUUGUGGGACAUCCCUUCAUCGUGAAAAGUUUACUGCAUAUUACUGUUCCAGUGUUUUCCGGGUACAUCAGUGUAGCCUUUGCAAAUGGACACAGCUGGCUUUGGGCUCUGUUCUCGGGUCCCUGACGGGUUCCCCGUGUCUGACUGCAGCGGCUGAGGCCUCCAGGGCCGGGCUGGCGGGCGGUGAAGGCAAGCAUAGUCCUCAUCUUGCCCCUAAUGACACCAGCGUCUGCUUCAGUGAGGUGGAGACUUUAGAAAAGGCUACGUUGCUAUGUUAAGAAAGCGGCUGUCACUUCCUAUUUUCCCUACUGUUUGUACUUUUAUCAGGAGUGGGUGUUAAAUUUUGCCAGAGGCUUUUUGUGCACCUAUGGGGGGAAAGCAUGUGAUUUUUCUCUUCGGGUCUGUCAAGAGUGACUUUCACAAAUGGAUUUCCCAGCAACCAGGCGGCCGUGGCAUCUGGGCGUCAGUCCCGCACGUGGUCACCAUGUCUGUCUUCCCAUUGCACCUUCCAGUAGGGUCUGGGGGUCAGAGUUCCUGUUGCAGUGGGGCUCUGCCGGCUGGCCUUCCAGGAGGGGGCUGGGGUCAGCACUCGCUGGCGGGGGGCUCCACCGGCGGGCACAGUUUAGCGUGUGCCCCUCCGAUUCAGGGCGCCGGAACAACUGGGCAAGCUGUGACCAUCUGGUCCCUAGCCAUGUGGUGGAGUUCAUCUGUGGAGUCAUUAGGGCCCGUUUUUGUUGGGGGCUGCGGUUCGCUGGAGGCUUUUUUCUCCCGUGGAAUCGGUGUGGUUAGGGUCCCGCCCCCCACUGUAGCCGCUUCAUCUGGAAAUUCGCAUUUAUUGUGCUCCGCAAGAAAUGUCACUACGGCAUAGUUAUUCUAUGUCAUUUAUUCCUAGCGGGGCCAGAACUCGAGCCUCCUCUGCCACCCGGCGCCCGGCGCUUCCUGGGCCCUUGUGGGUGGGCGAGAGGCAGACUCCGCCUGCAGUCUGCACAGGCCGAGCCGAGCAACCGCGGCUCGAGAGGCACACGGGGUUCGCGGGGAGACCAGCUCGGCUCUGCUCGCUCUCCACUCGGCCUCGUGCCGGGCAGGGUGGCCUCGGGAACGCGGGUGGCCGCAGCGGAGCUUCCUGGGGAGGGGAGACGGCUGUGCCCAGGCACAGCCACAGGCCACUGCCACCGACAGCGCAUCUCUCGCGGCCGCACGGCGCUGCCUGCUGGAGGUUGUGCGCAGGCGCAGCUGCAGGCUCCCGCUGUUGGCUGCGAGUCUCCUCCGUUGCGCAGCCGCACUGUCCGCACGCCGCCGCCUGCUCGAGGCCGUGCGCAGGCGCA